CACGCACACGCACAGACACACACACACACACACACACACACACACACACACACACACAGAGGCACACACACACAAUCCUUCCUCCAACCUACUUUGGCCACCUGAUCAACAAUCCAUCCAGUAACUCCACCCUGGAUAGCCCAGUCUACUUCUCUCUCUUGACAAUGUCCACAUUCACUCUGUUCUGGGUCGGGGCCAGAUAUUCAGGUGGGGAAAUACUCAGCAAACAGAAGCCUACAUACUUUCCUGUCAGAGUUUCUACCGAGCAGAGAGGGCAGCCUUGUUGAAGGGGCCCAGCUCAGUUCCAUCUGGAUGGAGAGAUCUGGUGGUGUGUGUGUGUGUGUGUGUGUUCGGUUCUGUCUGGACGGAGAGAUUUGCGGGAGGCAACACAGGCAAGUCUGUGCUCUCAAAAUCAGUUCUGUCAUUGCUUUCCUGGACUUGGACUUGCAGACAGUGUUGUAGUAGUUGCAAGUCAUCCAUUGCUUCCAUGUCAGAUAGGUGUAAACAUUAAACAUACAGAUGUCAUAUAUAAAUGUCGGUAACUCUCUGGUGUACAGCUGAAUCUUGGAACUGAAGUUCUGUGUCCAGCAACAAGUCUCCACACAUGGCAGUUAUGAUGACAAAAAUAACACAUUUGUUAAAGACAUACAGCUCUACCUCUAAGAUGUUAUCGGCAUUGUGUGAAGAUAAAUAAUUACAUUGAGCAUCUGUCAAGAGCCCUUCCCUCCUCUUGUACAUGCCAAAAUCUUGUCGUGCUCACAAGCCUGUCCUACAAGAGGAUGAAAGGUCAAAUCUGGACAUUACCAUAUAUGGUGUCAGUCCAAGGGUCAGGUGUCAUCUGCAUAGUUUAUUACUAUUUUAUAACCUUAUUGCUAUGAUGCUGCUAUGUAAAUACUAGGUAAGUACAUACUUAUUUUUUUUGAGUUCUCAGCUCAAACUGUUUGAACUGAAAUCAUGUGGCUUAUGUGUGUAAGAGAGAAACGUUGUUGUCAUUUUUGCUGCACUGUUUCUAUGGUAUCCACAAAGACAUUUCUCAAAUCCUCUCUAAUGGACUCCGCUGACCAAUGGUCAAAGCCCCUGAAAUUCCAGCUAAUCUCUCUCUCUCUGCCCCCUCUCUCUCUCCCCCUCUUCUCUCUCUUUGCCCCCCCAAUUCAAUGGGCUUUAUUGGCAUGGGAAACAUAUGUUAACAUUGCCAAAGCAAGUGAAGUAGACAAUAAACAAAAGUGAAAUGAACAAUAAAAAUGAACAGUAAACAUUACACUCCACAAGAAUAAAGACAUUACAAAUGUCAUAUUAUGUGUCUAUAUAGAGUGUUGUAACGAUGUGCAAAUGGUUGAAGUACAAAAGGGAAAAUAAAUAAACAUAAUUAUGGGUUGUAUUUACAAUGGUGUUUGUUCUUCACUGG
rnacentral:lncRNA from 1 species